GAAGUCAAGGAAGAAACCAGGCUCUUGCUAGCAACUACCAAUCCAGACUCCUACUUCGCGGGCUUUGGCCAAUUGCCGCUCACCAGUCCCCAGGGACGGGAGUAGGAGCCCUUGCGCCUGCGCUCGAGGCGAGGGCCAAUGGAGAGACGCAGAUAACUUCGAUUUGGGGUUUUACGGACUUCCCACCUGCCCUCGAGGUCGUCGACCAAUGGGGGCCUGGCAUUGCCUCUGAGAAACAAUAAAUAAAGGAGAGGGCUCUUAAAUCCUCGCCACCUUGCGCGGGCACUACUCUGAGAGGGAAAAACAGCCUUCCGAUACUCUCCUUCCUCUUUCGAAGUGUCAAGUCUGGUAGACCACCGGGCUUCCCAAUCUUAAACAUUUCCCCACCCCCACACCCACACCCCCACCCUUCUUGUCCAUUUGGCGGGGAACGCCAGCUCCCAGAAAGCAAGCCAGCCUGUAACUAGAGUGGUGGCGCUUUUGCAUCCUGGGAUAUGUAGUUCCCCCCUCCCCGUUCCUGUCGCAAACGUAGUGCGAGUUCUUCCGUCACUGACUGCGCCCUAGGAGGAGUAAUGCGUGCUGGAGAACGUAGUCCCCCAGGUUCCCGUUUGGUCCUAGCCUGCCUCACUUUCGUCAAGAGAACUUUCCCAUCUAGUUCUGCCUGUUGAAGAAGGGACUCUUUACAGAGAGGCUCAGACCAUGCUGUCCACAGUCCAAGGCUGCCCUAGACUGUAAGCUCCAUGAGGAGGGACUGGACCACUUCCUUCACUGCUGUUUCCCCCAUGUGUAGCACUGUACCUGGCACACAGUAAGUUACUAAGAAGAAGAUUGUUGCAUUCAAUUUCAGAUUAGAAAAUGAAGGUCCAGGGAAUUCCCUGGAGAUCCAGUGGUUAGGACUCCACACUUUCACUGCCAGAGCCCAGGUUCAAUCCUCGGUCGGGGAACUAAGAUCCCACAAGCUGUGUGUACGGCCGAAAAAAAAAAGAAAGAAAGAAAAAAAAAAAAGAAAAUGAGGGUCCAGGGACUUCCCUGUUGGCUCACUGCUUAAGAAUCCACCUGUCAAGGCAGGGGACACGGGUUCAAGCCCUGGUACGGGAAGAUCCCACAUGCCGCAGAGCAACUAAGCCCAUGCGCCACAACUACUGAGCCUGCGCUCUAGAGCCCGCAAGCCACAACUACUGAGCCCACGUGCCACAACUACUGAAGCCCGUACGCUUAGAGCCCGUGCUCUGCAACAAGAGAAGCCACCAAAAUGAGAAGCCUGCGCACCACAAUGAAGAGUAGCCCCCACUCGCCGCAACCAGAGAAAGCCCGCGCGCAGCGACAAAGACCCAACACAGCCAAAAAUAAAUUAAUUAAUUAAAAAAAAAAAGAAAAUGAGGGUCCAGAGAUCAUUUUGUCUGGCUCCUUAAACUCAUAGGUGGGGAAACUCAGGUUCAGGAAAGGUGAGUGACUUGCCCACGGUCACGCAAAGAGUAGCUUGCAGAGUCAGCUGCCUGGUCACCACCUGCUUCAAAGCUGGCUCAGGCUUCCUCUGGCCCAGCUGAUAAAUCCCUCAUCUUCAUUCAGUUCCCAGAGGCUCACAAAGUAUCUCUUCGUAUGCAGUCUGAUCUCUGCGACAGCCUUGGGGAUGAUGAUCAUGAUAGCUGACACUGAGUGUUUUCAAUAUUCUAGUCAUUUGUGUGUAUUCACUUCCUUAAUCUUUUGCAUGACCCUGUGGGAUAGGUACUGUUAUUAGCAUCCCAUGUCACAGAUGAGGAAACUGAGGCACAGGAUAUUUAAAGGAACUUGCCCAAGGUCAGAUAGCUGGGAAAUGGCAGAACUGGGAUUUGAACCUGGCAGUCUGACUCUUAACCAUGACACUGUCCAGCUUGCCUUGUAUGUAGGAGGGAGGCAUUAUUAUCCUUUCUCUGUCAGCCCCCAGGGUGAGGUUUGGCAUUCUUCGAUUCAAAAGCAGGGGCCACAAACCUACUGCCUGCAGGAACUAGGCAGAAAACAUGAAUGGGUGAAGCAGACAGGUGUCAGGCAACAGGGCCUGGUGGGGACAGUGGUAAACUGGAGAGCACAGGGUCUUCUACAGCCACUCACCCUUGCUGCACCUGCGCUCCAGAAGGGUGUUACUAAGAGCAAAUGCAGGCUCAGAGUUGACUUUUUAACAGAAGUCACAAGUCUGAAUUUUUAAGUGAAAUCUCUCAAUUGUGUAAACGGUGGCAACCAAAAUUCAAGUUUUCUUCGCUUUAAUAGGCAGGGCAAGGAAAACAUAUCCACGGGCUGAAUGGCUGCAGCUCACAGGCCACAGUUUGCAGCCUCUUGUCUGAGACAGAAGGCGUUUCCUUUCUUCCUCCAGCUCCCGUCCUCUUGUCCUCCCUCUACCUCCAUCUAGCCUUCUUGCCCUUCUUCCUUUCCUUCCCCUUCCUUCCGUCUUCCCUGUCCCCACCUUGAGUGGUGCAGCCACCCACCUGUUGGUCAUUGGUCUGGUAGCUCUGGCUGAGAGAGUAGGAGGAACCCACACCAGCGGGGACUCCAGGUCCAGAACACUGGCCACCAGGUUCCAGCUGUGUGGGUUCGUGUCGGCGUUCCCUCUGUAGGGAGGAGGGAGAUGUGUGGGUGUCCUUUGGGCUGCAGGGGCCAAGGGCACCCGUAGGGCUGAACGCAGUGGUCGUGGGGCUCUUGCCCAUGCCUCCUAACAAGAUGGCAGCCAGAGAGGGGCAUAGGUGGAUGCUCCAGUCCAGGAGUAGGUGGCUCCAGGGCAUCCCCUGGGUUGGCAUUCCACAGGGGAGGCUAGGGAAGCCCUCUUUCUUCUAGCCUCUCCAAACCCUCCCUAGAGAGAAUCCUUUCACCACCUGAGUAACAGAGGGUGUUCCCACUUAAGGCCAAACUUUGCCAUGGAGCUUCUUCCUGAGCCCCAAAUCUGCUCCUUGCUGGCCCUGUUCUCUGUUCCCUUUUGUCGAGAGACAACUUGUCUGCCAGCUACUGUGCUAAGUACUCUAUGGGAAUUGCUCCUAUUCCUCACAGCAACCUUUGAAGUAGGUUCUUUUUUUUUUAGGCCACACUGCGCAGCUUGCAGGAUUCUAGUUCCCUGACCAGGGACUGAUCCCAGGCCUUCGGCAGUGAAAGCAUGGAGUCCUAACCACAGGACCGCCAGGGAAUUCCCAUGAAGUAGGUUCUAUUAUUAUUCCCAUUUCUCAGAUGAGAAAACUGAGGCCCAACCAGGUUUAUUUACCUUAAGCCAUAUAGCUAGUAUAUGGCAGAGCCCACACUUGAAUGCGUCAGUCAGUUUCCAAGGCACAUAUUAUGCUAAACUUCUCCUAAAUCUUCACAAUACUAAUAUUGUUGUCAUCCCCUUCACUGAGGCCUGCAGAGAGAGGUUAAGUAACGCGUCCAAGUUCACACAGCUGGGAGGUGUUGCAGAUGGGGCUUGAACCACCUCUGUCUUAUCGCAGCAUGUGAACUGACCCUGCACCUGAGUCAUGCUCAGGACGGUUUGCUUUCCAUGGAAUUUUACUCACCUGAUGCUAAAAAGUCCAUAAGGCAAUUAAUCGGUGAAAAUACUGGGACUCAGAGAGGGGGAGUGACCGGCCCAAGGUGAUACCAACUACAGUUCAUGCCUCCUGAAUCUAAGUCCAGUGUUCUUUCCACCACAUUGAGCUGCUGGCUGUUCUGUUGCUCUCCCAGAGUUUCUGGCUCUGAAGGCCUGAGUCUAAUUCUCCAGCCCUCACCACCUGGCACUAGAUCGAGCAGGGCUCCUUAGGGAACUUCACGAUAGCUCCAUAUGUGAUGGCUUGGGGUUUGGGAGGGGUUUGCAGGACAGUUAGUGGCAAACUCCAGCUGGAACCACAGGGUUCCCGAGUCAGAAGGACCUCAGCAGUCAUGUGCUGCAACCCUCCCACUAUAAAGGAAGGAAACCUGAGGCCCUGAGAGGGAAAGAAACCUGCGUGGGGAUGCACAGCAAGUCGUUGUUUGGACUAACAGUGACAUUCCUUACAGCCUGUGCCCUGUUGAGGGCAGGCAAGCAGUGAAGAGAUGGAGCAGUCAUUUAGCACUGGGUUCGGCCUUGGAAGAUUUCUUUUUUUUUCUUUUUGAUUUAAUUUAAUUUUAUUAUUAUUAUUUUUUGGCCACGCCGAGUGGUCUGUGGGAUUUUAUUUACCAGACCAGGGAUGGAACCUGUGCCCUCUGCAGUGGAAACGUGGAGCCCUAACCCCUGGACCACCAGGGAAUUUCCAGUCUUCUAUCAACUUAAUUAAACUGUGUGAAGUUAGGUUUUAGCUCCUGGCAGGCAAGCUCCUCGUAGGCUGGGAGCAGCUGUGUCUGGGAUUCAAUAAAAGCAGUGAAGCCCAGCCAAACUGGAGC